GGAGACGUGGCUGAGUGGUCGAAAGUACCUCACUGCUAACGAGGCAGGGAUUAACGUCCCUCGAGGGUUCGAAUCCCUCCGUCUCCG
rnacentral:tRNA from 1 species